rnacentral:rRNA from 1 species
UACGUAGGGUCCGAGCGUUGUCCGGAAUCAUUGGGCGUAAAGCGCAUGUAGGCGGCUCGGUCAGUCUGAUGUGAAAUCUUGGGGCUCAACCCCAAGCGGUCAUUGGAUACUGCCGGGCUUGAGUCCGGAAGAGGAGAGUGGAAUUCCUGGUGUAGCGGUGGAAUGCGCAGAUAUCAGGAGGAACACCAAUGGCGAAGGCAGCUCUCUGGUACGUGACUGACGCUGAGACGCGAAAGCGUGGGGAGCAAACAGG